rnacentral:rRNA from 1 species
AUUGAACGCUGGCGGCAGGCCUAACACAUGCAAGUCGAGCGGUAGCACAGAGAGCUUGCUCUCGGGUGACGAGCGGCGGACGGGUGAGUAAUGUCUGAGAAACUGCCUGAUGGAGGGGGAUAACUACUGGAAACGGUAGCUAAUACCGCAUAACGUCGCAAGACCAAAGUGGGGGACCUUCGGGCCUCAUGCCAUCAGAUGUGCCCAGAUGGGAUUAGCUGGUAGGUGGGGUAACGGCUCACCUAGGCGACGAUCCCUAGCUGGUCUGAGAGGAUGACCAGCCACACUGGAACUGAGACACGGUCCAGACUCCUACGGGAGGCAGCAGUGGGGAAUAUUGCACAAUGGGCGCAAGCCUGAUGCAGCCAUGCCGCGUGUGUGAAGAAGGCCUUCGGGUUGUAAAGCACUUUCAGCGGGGAGGAAGGCAUUAAGGUUAAUAACCUUAGUGAUUGGCGUUACCCGCAGAAGAAGCACCGGCUAACUCCGUGCCAGCCGCCGCCGUAA